GGAAGAUCCACCGGCGCAGCGUCUUUCAAGACUUCUCCGUUAAAUUGUCGAUUUUUCCUUUAUUUCGCGAAUAAAGACAUAUUUUGGAUGGAUCAACAUUGAAGACAAACAAGCAACAGAGCUAACGACAGCGACUGGCCAGGAUGGUGCGGGCAAGCUGCGAACACAUGUACAACUUUUGGGGGAGAAAAUGGAGCCAAGCAUAUCCGGCCGCGCUGUAGACCAUGAUCCGGUCCAUGUAUUAUAGUUGACCAGAGGGACGCAUCAUGACGUUACGGAGCAGGAGCCGCAAGAUUGGGACAAGAGAUGGCGUGGUAACCAAGGACAGUGCCAAAAGGAGAUGUAAGAAUGACAGAGUGAGGACAGUAGAUACAUUUACCACUAUUCUGACAGCAGACUUAUGCAAGGGUAUGGCUGUCUUGGGAGCAGUGUUUGCAGACUUGAUGCAAAUGACCCGAGCGGAAGAACGAAGCUGGCAAUGCUGGCUUGAGAGGUGUGCCGAAGAAUCUCCCUUGGAUCAAGCCCAGGCCUUAUUGUGUGGUGGCCAGCAGUGUUAAUCAGAUGAUGACAAUGUUACAAUGUGUUGACAAUUUGUCAACUUUACCUCAGUAUUUAAAUAGGCCAAUGAAUGACAAGGACAAGGGGGAAGAAACUAGAAACUGAAGUCUUCACAAAAUGCCUAAGUAGCUGGGCGAGCUAUGCUACCUCGAUUAGAUAUUGAGAAGAUGUACGCUUCAGCAUGAUAUCAAGGAGUCUUUCGUUCAGUUAUGGCCUACAAAUACUUGCAUGAUAAUUCUAGAUGCUUUUUCAGCCUGUUUCAAGAUCAGGGGCGUGGCUGUCACUGAGGUUGUCCAAGACAGACCGAUGCUAUAUCACUGUUGAAAAAGACAAAGCGGUUUGGUUUGGCAUGGCUAAGUAUUGACUGACAUUAACUGUCAAAAUGGUGUGACUUAUUACUUGCCUGUUGUCUGAGAAACAGUAAUGCCAGUCAUUGGACAUGUGACAGUGACAGCUUAAUUGACAACACGGGAACAAAAAUUUGAUGUCGAGCCAAGGAUAACACAAAGUUGGCACCAUAUUGGAUUUACAGACCGACUGUACAAACUUGGCAACAGCAAAAUAAGCCAGUGACAGGAUACCUAGCUACAUAUCUACCUCUGCUAUGAUGAUAAUGAAAGGAUGAAUGCCAGCAGGAUGACUAAGUGACAAACACUUUCACGUGUAAUAGCCUUAAAAAUUUAUGAUCGUUCUAAUGGUUUUGGCCUUCUGUUUCAGCGUAGGGGCCUAGUUUUAAGAUUGAAGGACAGGGAUGUCACAGAGGUCUGGAAAAACUAUUGUUAACUAGGAUGCACUCGCAUCUGGAACACCUGAUGUGAAGGAAGGCUGGGGACGCACCAAGAAAGAUAUUCUUUCCAGGCAUGUUGCCAGUGCCACAAAGAACAGAACUGACCUUGCAGUGAAAAGCGUGAGGAGUUACAAAUUCAGGCAUUCUAGUAGUUUGAGAUAUUUUUCGGCCUGCAUAGUUUCAAGGAAGAUGAGAUGGAGAGAUACAACAUACAUGGAGAGACAUGUGUCCAUUACAUAAAGGUCUGUGUGUGUAUCCUGAAGAGGGAUUCAGUUGACUUUUGAAGGAGCAAAUAUUUCGGCUCCUCCAUGAGAUGGCACAGACUGGAAAAGAGAAAAGCAGCUGCACCAUCGUCCUCCUGGUGGUAAGCCAAUAUCAGUCCACAUGCUAAGGGUUGCAACUCCAACACCUCUAACAAGAUUUCACUGUAAUCAUCUGACUAGAGAAAAUGAUGAAGGAAUCUACAAUGUCGUUGCAAGGACAAGCAAUCUUAGAAUAAAAGCACCUCAACGGGAAAACCACUGGUAAUUGAAGCUGGUAGAUCGCCGUGACAUCUCUCGUAAACAAGCUGGGUUAUGGACAAGGAUCACAUCAACUAAGUUCAAAUGUCUUGAACACGAUAGGGCCCCUUCCAUUCUGACUGGAAAAGACAUCUAUCAUCUUUGGUUUGUUCAUGAUCAAGGGAAUCCACAGUUUCUUUGCUGGGAAAAAUGGAAAGCAGUGGAGUUCAACAAUGGUGCGACAACAUUUCCUGUCCUAGCCAAGGACCUAAAUAUUUGAUGAUAUCAUUCUGUCGUAUUGCAAUGUCCACAAUCAUUUUAUUGUCAUCUUUUAAUGGCUGUCGUUAAUUGAAAGUUUAAGAAUGAAUAGUAGAGCGUAUUUGAAACGACCGGCCAUUUGGGAUCAAAGUCCCUGUCCGUGAUCGAGAGCGCCUCAGUCAUCAAUUGCGUGUAGACCAUUUGGCCUUGCAGCGUGCCUGGGUUAAACAUAGCCCAAGGAAACACUACGGUUAUAAAUGGAAAGGAGGAGAUCAUUGAAAUCACUUGACAGAAAACUGUGCUGAACAUCUUUUUCCUUUACUCACGUUCAGUCCUUAUCAUUAUUUCAGCUUUGGUUCACCAGUUAUACAGAACAUGCAGGACAUUGUGAACACUGAGAAUAUAACGAAGAACUGAGUGGCGCCGAAAAUACCUCAAGAUUUACUUUUUCAGCAAAGAAUGACUUUGUAGGCCUAAAGGUUUAGAAGUUAUACGUAAAUUGAAGGUGACCUUCUCAAGCGAGGAGCCAACGUCUUGGUAUUGCAGCCACUGUAGCUUAGGUAGUAUAGUGACCUACAUGAAGUUGUUUUCAGUUAUUAAAGUCCAUGGGGUUAGUCGCAUUUAACCUUGACUCUGUUGGACUGGGUCGACUGAAUGUGAUAAAAUAAUUAAGACCGAUUUACAAAUGAAAUGAAGAGUCUGCAUUUUGGUGCAACUGCAUUUCUUGCUUCGAAGCAAUAUUUUGUGGCAAUGUUCAGGUCUUUUCCUCCCGGGCAAAUCUGCAUACCAGUAAUUAUGUGCAGACUUGGCUCUUCCAGAGAUUGUAGGACUGGGUCCAUUGAAUGUAACAAAAAUAAUUGAUGCCUAUUUACAAAUGAAAUGAAGAGUCUGCAUUUUGAUGCAACUCCAUAUAACUGUCGGGUGAUUUUGCUCUGAACUUGUGACACUCUGAUCGGUCUGAAAUAAUCACUAUCCCGCCCCUCUGGGAAAAAUUUGCAGCCAGAUUGCACCAUUUCCUGUUACCGUCUGAGAGAUGGCGAUGUCAGGGGCGCAUGACGGUGGUUAAACCUAUUGCGAAUGGGCAGCACAAUUGGGUGUAGGAUAUUCAUAAACCAUUGCACACUCCUGAAUCUGCGGUGGGUUGGUACCCCACGCUACGUAAGGAGUAGGUUUGUGGGUAAGACUUGGUCCACGUGAAUGGGUCGUGCCUUAAAAAUGAUGAGAAGUUGCGAAUUGACGCCCUGUGAAGUGUCCUUCGACCAGCUAGUGCUAAUCCGGUCACUGUCUCCAGGUCACCAUGCCUCGGUCAAUGAGCGGGCGAAGCACCCAAUGGCUCCGUCAGGAGUACAUCGUCAACUUCAGCCCGUAGACAAACCGGUACGCGCACAAAUAUCUUAGCUGAGAGUGGGGGACAUCAGUAAAGUGCUUCUCAUCGGGGUAAUACAGUACCACUGUAUACAAUGACCCCAUUUUUUGUUGGAUUCAUUUCCACUGAGGAAUGGUCGAUAAUGAGAGUUUCGGGCCAGUCCGAUUGUCACCAGUCCAGAGGUUAAAAUACCUGAUAGUUAAGUGGCUUUCCCUCAAACUGUAUACUCUUUCAUGUCAAUUGUAAAUUAGUGUUGCUUGGUAGUGUUCAGGGUCUUUUUGUCAAACGGGCAUAUCUGCAUACCAGUAAUUAUGUGCAAACAUCAUUUUUGCUUUGAAGCAAUAUCGUUGCUACACUCCUAAAGCAGUGGCUGUCUUCAGGUCUUUUCUGCCUCGCGGGCAAAUCUGCAUACCAGUGAUUAUAUGCAUACUUGAGUUUUGCUUUAAAGCAAUAUCAGUGCUACACUUGUGAAGCAGUGGCAGUGUUCAGGUCUUGUCUGCCUCACUGACAUAUCUGCAUACCAGUAGUUAUGUGCAGGCUCGGCUUUUUCUUUGGAGCAGUACAGUUGCAAGAUAAAUCCUGUUUGUAAUCUUAUAAAUCAGUUGCUCAUUAAGGGCUUACGAAGGUUUUGAUGCCUUGCUGGCAUAUCUGCAUACCAGUAAAUAUGUGCAGAUUCAUUUCUUGCUUUGAAGCAAUAUUGUGGCAAUGUUCAGGUCUUUUCUGUUGCAAGAUAAAUCCUGUUUGUAAUUUUAUAAAUUAGUUGCUCAUCAAGGGCUUACGAAGAUUUUGAUGCCUUGCUGGCAUAUCUGCAUACCAGUAAAUAUGUGCAGAUUCAUUUCUUGCUUUGGCAAUUAUCUAAUAGUUAUGUGGCUUUACCUCAAACUGUAUACUCUUUCAUGUCAUUUAUAAAUUCGUGUUGAUCGUUUUACCUCGCAUCUCAUGGGCAGAAUGAACAGUCUGGUGGAGUCCUGAUGCUCCCUGAUGUUGGUCUUUGACUGGAGAUCAUAAUCACUCUGGUCAGUUCCGUGAUUCCUUUUACCACGAGCAGGCCCAUUUAGGCCUACAACCUGUCAUUGUUGUA